rnacentral:lncRNA from 9 species
GUCUCUCCCCUCGUUGCCCGGGUAAUCAAAAGCACGUAAUUAAAAGCUGGCUGGUGACAGCAAUGAAUGUGGUUCUGUGACCCAAGAACAGCUUUUUCCUAAGCAAAGCUCAUUAGACCACAUUAAAUUCACAAUAGGUUUAAAUUCACAAAGUGUACCCUGCAAUGAUCAUAAGCAAAGGGUUUUAACCAGAGAAUUCCCUAAAGGACAGAGGAGGUUUAAAAAAAUUUUUUUUUUAAAUGUGAGGACUCUGAGUAGUGGUUGGUUCUUUCUGUUGUUUACACAGGCAGGAGUCCUUCCACGGGACCCUUGGAGGGGAGAAAGAAGCCAGUUACCCAAGGUUGUUGCCUGGAAGGAGAGAGAAAGGUUUGAAUAACCUUGACUGACUGCAUUCGAUUGUGAAAGAGAGAAAAGGAAAAGAAUGACAUCCUGGAAAUAUAUAUUAUCAAGCAUCUAUCUCACAGGUAAGUAAUAUUGAGUAAUUUUUAGAAAUGUAAUUCUCUGAGGGCAGGAGUAACAUCUGAUACACCUUGGUCCCCCACGUCUAGUGCAUUACAAGAAGCGGGUAGUGUGUACGCAGUAAACUGAACUGGAGGGAGUAACAAUUGAUAACUCACACUUAGUACCGCCGGUUAAAGUUAAAAGUGUAUUGUGCUACGCCAUUGGCAAAAUCCUUACCCAAGAGUGAUUUUGUCUCCAGCUGGGUCCUAGCUGCAUCCUCAUUUUCUGCUGUAUUUUUAACUCCCCAUCAUCUUCUAGGAUUCUCUUUUUUUUUUCCUCUCUCUCUCUUUUGGUCCGCCCUCUCCACUGUUCUGGACUGAAAUAGUCACUUCUUUGGCAGUUAAUUCAAUGGGUACAGAGAUUUCUCAUGCAGUUAACUCACUGGGUCCACUCUAAGUAUUGUGCUGGGUUUUAGAGCUUUAGAACUGUACACAUUGUUAUUUCUAAUUUGCAACUAUACACAUCCAUGGCAUGUUGGAAUUUAAAAAGGUUCAUUAGCGUACAGUGUUUAUUCUGCAAAAUAUUUGUCAUAAUUGAAAAAAUAACCUCCCUUACUUCACAAACAUCAGUGACUCCCUUUAUGUUGCUUUAGUCCUAUAUCGUCAGAUACACUCCUCCACUUUCAGUGAGGAAACCUGGAAUUUAGGAAUUUUUUUAAUCCUUUCCAGACAUUUAUGGGCUACAGUGGGACAGACGUAGCUGUGAAUACAAAAUUACACAGCGAUUUAACUUAUAUGUCCCGUUUUAGAAGGUCUUAUCUGGGAAUAUGUCGCAAUACUGUGUCCUGUCGCAUCAUCUCUC